GUUAUUGAAUCUGUUGUAAUUCCUUUUAUAUUAAUAAUGUUGGUUUUCCAACUAUGACGAUAAACGAAUUUCGUAAUAACCAUUGCGGACGUGGGGGCAGUACCCACCACCUCCACCAUUACAACUUAUG
rnacentral:tmRNA from 1 species